AUUGAACACUGGCGGCAUGCUUUACACAUGCAAGUCGAACGGUAACAGGCCGCAAGGUGCUGACGAGUGGCGAACGGGUGAGUAAUGCAUCGGAACGUGCCCAGUCGUGGGGGAUAACGCAGCGAAAGCUGCGCUAAUACCGCAUACGAUCUAUGGAUGAAAGCGGGGGACCGUAAGGCCUCGCGCGAUUGGAGCGGCCGAUGUCAGAUUAGGUAGUUGGUGGGGUAAAGGCUCACCAAGCCAACGAUCUGUAGCUGGUCUGAGAGGACGACCAGCCACACUGGGACUGAGACACGGCCCAGACUCCUACGGGAGGCAGCAGUGGGGAAUUUUGGACAAUGGGCGCAAGCCUGAUCCAGCAAUGCCGCGUGCAGGAAGAAGGCCUUCGGUUGUAACUG
rnacentral:rRNA from 1 species